rfam:Rattus norvegicus chromosome 3, whole genome shotgun sequence.
GGGGUUUUAGCUCAGUGGUAGAGCGUUUGCCUAGUAAGCGCAAGGCCCUGGGUUCGGUUCUCGGCUCCA